rnacentral:rRNA from 1 species
AUACGUAGGGGGCAAGCGUUGUCCGGAAUUACUGGGCGUAAAGAGCUCGUAGGCGGCUCAGCAAGUCGGUCGUGAAAGCCCGAGGCUCAAGCUCGGAACUGCGGUCGAUACUGCUGUGGCUAGAGUCCGGUAGAGGAGAGUGGAAUUCCCGGUGUAGCGGUGGAAUGCGCAGAUAUCGGGAGGAACACCAGUGGCGAAGGCGGCUCUCUGGGCCGGUACUGACGCUGAGGAGCGAAAGCGUGGGGAGCAAACAGGAUUAGAUACCCUAGUAGUCC